AGUCUAGUCUGUGACCUGAGCCAUCAUGGUAGGGUGUCCAGGGUGAGGGGAGGGUGGUGUGAAUCCCCAGUAAUGCAGGUCCUUUCCAGGCCAGGCCCCUGGUCCCCAGGAGUGCGGGGAUGCCUGAGGUCUACUGCUGCCUUAUCCAGAGCUGCCAUCCCCGGCGAUGACUCAGAGUUCCUGUGGCCCCAGCAUCAUCCCUCCAUCCCUGGCUGUGAGGCAGGAGCAGAGUUGCAGACCUGAGAGGCCUUGAAUUUGUUUGAUAUAGGACUUUGCCACCAGACAAAGUGCUUUGCCUGUGAGGUCUGGCUUGGCCUGGCCUCUGAGAAAGAACAAACACAGACCUCACUGGAAGGAACCUGGAGAACGGGAGAGGAGAGGCUGCUGCUGUCUGCCCUCCCAGCAGCAGAUAUAAAGACAAUGGGCUUCUAAGUCCCCUAGAGUCCCAGCUGUGUAAUUUAAGGCAAAUAUAAUUUCUGACCUACGUAAUGAUGUAUGCACAAGAAGCCUCUCUUGAAUGUAUUAAUUCAGUAAACAGUUAUGGAGUCCUUACAAUGUGCUAGUGGGACUUUGAAGAUGAAUCCAAAUUUGGAUCCUGGCCUGGAAAGGCUCAAAGCCCAAUAUGGGAGGAGGAGAUAUGAAGGUGAAUUUGGAAUUGCUAUCAAAUUCCUUAGGUAUCCGUAUUAAGGGCACUCAAGAAAUGAGCCUAACAUGGCUCCUGGUUUCCUUCAGAGAAUGUGGGUCCAGAAACGAUUAAACGAGACAAGCGCUUUCAAGAAUGGAAGAGUGUUACAAACUUAGGAUUUUACCAGGUUUUCAUAAAAAU
rnacentral:lncRNA from 10 species